AUUGAACGCUGGCGGCAUGCCUUACACAUGCAAGUCGAACGGCAGCACGGGUGCUUGCACCUGGUGGCGAGUGGCGAACGGGUGAGUAAUACAUCGGAACGUACCUUAUCGUGGGGGAUAACGCAGCGAAAGCUGUGCUAAUACCGCAUACGCCCUGAGGGGGAAAGCGGGGGAUCGAAAGACCUCGCGCGAUUAGAGCGGCCGAUGCCUGAUUAGCUUGUUGGUGGGGUAAAAGCCCACCAAGGCGACGAUCAGUAGCUGGUCUGAGAGGACGAUCAGCCACACUGGGACUAAGACACGGCCCAGACUCCUACGGGAGGCAGCAGCGGGGAAUUUUGGACAAUGGGGGCAACCCUGAUCCAGCAAUGCCGCGUGAGUGAAGAAGGCCUUCGGGUUGUAAAGCUCUUUUGUCAGGGAAGAAACACCGGCUCUAACACAGUCCGGGAAUGACGGUACCUGAAGAAUAAGCACCGGCUAACUACGUGCCAGCCGCCGCCGUAA
rnacentral:rRNA from 1 species